rnacentral:rRNA from 1 species
UACAGAGGCCCCAAGCGUUACUGAGAAUCACUGGGUUUAAAGGGUGCGUAGGUGGCGCGUUAAGUCCGUUGUGAAAUCCCUUGGCUCAACCAAGGAAAUGCUUCGGAUACUGGCGUGCUUGAGGCUAGUAGGGGUCACUGGAACUGACGGUGGAGCGGUGAAAUGCGUAGAUAUCGUCAGGAACGCCGAUGGUGAAGACAGGUGACUGGGCUAGUUCUGACGCUGAGGAGCGAAAGCGUGGGGAGCAAACAGG